GCAAGGAAAGGACAGCAACCUGGGAAGGAAAGGGCAAUUUAUAUAAAGGAGUGCUCUGUCUCUAGAGAAGUGCCUUUGAGACUGUUCUUUGAGAAAUAUGAGGGGAAAGGGCUAGAGAACUACAAGAUACUGCUACUUUUAUUAUAUAUUUGAUUUGUAGUUUUAAAAAAUUAUAUUUUUGCCAAGGCUUUUUUUAAUAACAUUUUCAUGCCCAAAGUAUUGAUUUCAGGGACGUUUUCACUACCUGGGGAAAGGGAUCAGUAAGUUGCACACAUUACUAACACAAUAAAUUCUUGCCACCCUACCAGCUAAGUUCUGAUUGAGAAGAGGCUACCAAAAACUCACAGGCAAAACCAAUUGUUGAGAUAAACAUGGGGGAAAUGCUACAAAGCCAAAACAAAGAACAAUUGCUUCAAGCCUCCCAAAUUUCUAUUUAAUUCAGAAAACAAAUUAACUCUAACCUCUAUCUGCGGCGCCUCUGCAGGGAAACCACAGUGGGAGGAAUCCCAGUUUACACACAAUCUGGAGAGAGGGAGGAAAUCCAAGGACUAAAUGGGAGGAGAAGAAAACAUGCUUGGACAAUGUGCUGCACACUGGUGGGACUGCAAUUGUAUGCAAGAAAAGCACCUUUCCUAUCAGAGGCAGUAGUGAGUAAGGAGAAGACUCAGCAAGGAGAAUAAUAAUAAUUAAGUCCCUGACACCAUAGUGAUGGACGUGAUCUAGUAACGGAGACAGAUGACCCAGUAGCUGAAUGACUGAUCAUCUCCCUCAGAACACAGCAGGGGAACUUCAGGCAAUGUAUCUGUAAAGCACCGAGUACCUUCCACUCUUCCCGACCCCACCAAUUUCCUCUGCACAAACCAUCCAUAUGGAUUUGACAUGUGGCCUCUGAGAGACCCUGCAUUGUACAUCCCAGUAAGUCAAAGCGUAUGGGGUGGAGGAGCCACGUUCCUACCUAAGCUUCUGCAAGUCACUAAGGGUCAAGUUAAGUGCAAGCCUGAUCCUGUUGUCUGGACCAGGCUUGCCCAGUUCAUGCUUUAAGCUGCCCAGCCUCAGCAGGCUGGGUUUCCUCUCAGCUGCAGAGCUCAAAGGAGGUGGCCCCUGUCUCGCUCCAUGUGGUCCUGGGCAGCUCAGCAUCCCCACCAGAUUGGGGGCACAUCUUCGUGGCUGGCUCAUCCUCACCCGCCUGAGGGGCUUCAAGACUUGGGGCUGGGGAAGGAGGUUGAGAAACAAGAGGGCUGUGGGACUUGAAGACUUCUCUGGAGCCAUGUAGCCCUUUCAGCAUUUCCAUGAGUUUGUUUUUCCUCUCAGACCCAGGGGCUUAUCAGCACUUCCCUGCUUUACAGGGAUGCUGCGAUGAGUAAAUCCAUUAUAAACUGUGCAGUGCUGAGACACCAAGUCUACGGCCACACAAAUUAGUAGGAGAGGCCAAGGAAUGUUUUCCACCCCCAAGACCCAUUGGCAUGCCCAGCCAUCCCCAAAGGGAUGUGCUCCUGUCCCCCCAGAGCAGGAGAGCUGUGCCCAAACCACCUGCAGAGAACCACACUAGCUCCUGAAAUAUGCCUGGGCAUUGGCAGCAAACUCAUGCAAGGGCAAUGCCAACCAUUUAAUUGCAUGGGCAACUGCCUGGGCCUGUGCCCUGCCUCUACUUUAUUAAUUUAUUAGUACCUUGCUGCUAGCUUACACUCGCAUAGACAGAGAGCUUGCCAUCAGCAAGGGCAAUAAAGUGCCUGUGAGAGAAAAGUCCAAAGUGUUUUAUUGGUUUCAAAAUA